AACGAACGCUGGCGGCAGGCCUAACACAUGCAAGUCGAGCGCUCUCCUCGGAGAGAGCGGCGGACGGGUGAGUAACACGUGGGAACAUACCCUUUGGUGCGGAAUAGCGGCUGGAAACGGCCAGUAAUACCGCAUGAUGUCUCCGGACCAAAGAUUUAUCGCCAAGGGAUUGGCCCGCGUUGGAUUAGGUAGUUGGUGGGGUAAUGGCCUACCAAGCCGACGAUCCAUAGCUGGUUUGAGAGGAUGAUCAGCCACACUGGGACUGAGACACGGCCCAGACUCCUACGGGAGGCAGCAGUGAGGAAUCUUAGACAAUGGGGGAAACCCUGAUCUAGCCAUGCCGCGUGAGUGAAGAAGGCCUUAGGGUCGUAAAACUCUUUCGCUAGGGAAGAUAAUGACUGUACCUAGUAAAGAAGUCCCGGCUAACUCCG
rnacentral:rRNA from 1 species